UACGGGAGGCAGCAGUGGGGAAUAUUGCACAAUGGGCGCAAGCCUGAUGCAGCCAUGCCGCGUGUAUGAAGAAGGCCUUCGGGUUGUAAAGUACUUUCAGUCGUGAGGAAGGUGUUAAGGUUAAUAACCUUAGCAAUUGACGUUAGCGACAGAAGAAGCACCGGCUAACUCCGUGCCAGCAGCCGCGGUAAUACGGAGGGUGCGAGCGUUAAUCGGAAUUACUGGGCGUAAAGGGCACGCAGGCGGUUAAUUAAGUUGGAUGUGAAAUCCCCGGGCUUAACCUGGGAAUGGCAUUCAAGACUGGUUAGCUAGAGUCUUGUAGAGGGGGUAGAAUUCCAUGUGUAGCGGUGAAAUGCGUAGAGAUGUGGAGGAAUACCGGGUGGCGAAGGCGGCCCCUGGGACAAAGGACUGACGCUCGAUGUGCGAAAGCGUGGGGAGCGAAACAGGGAUUAGAUACC
rnacentral:rRNA from 1 species